rnacentral:rRNA from 1 species
AACGAACGCUGGCGGCAGGCCUAACACAUGCAAGUCGAACGGACCCUUCGGGGUUAGUGGCGGACGGGUGAGUAACACGUGGGAACGUGCCUUUAGGUUCGGAAUAGCUCCUGGAAACGGGUGGUAAUGCCGAAUGUGCCCUUCGGGGGAAAGAUUUAUCGCCUUUAGAGCGGCCCGCGUCUGAUUAGCUAGUUGGUGAGGUAAAGGCUCACCAAGGCGACGAUCAGUAGCUGGUCUGAGAGGAUGACCAGCCACAUUGGGACUGAGACACGGCCCAAACUCCUACGGGAGGCAGCAGUGGGGAAUCUCGCGAAAUGGGCGAAAGCCUGACGCAGCCAUGCCGCGUGAAUGAUGAAGGUCUUAGGAUUGUAAAAUUCUUUCACCGGGGACGAUAAUGACGGUACCCGGAGAAGAAGCCCCGGCUAACUUCGUGCCAGCAGCCGCCGUAAAAC